UUUAAUGUGGCAGAUUAGUGCAAUGAAUUUAAGCUUCAUAUAUAAAGUUAUACUUUCAUUAAAA
rnacentral:tRNA from 1 species